AACUGGCUCAGGAUGAACGCUGGCGGCGUGCUUAACACAUGCAAGUCGAGCGAAGCAAUUUAAGUGAAGUUUUCGGAUGGAUCUUAAAUUGACUGAGCGGCGGACGGGUGAGUAACGCGUGGAUAACCUGCCUCACACAGGGGGAUAACAGUUAGAAAUGACUGCUAAUACCGCAUAAGCGCACAGUACCGCAUGGUACAGUGUGAAAAACUCCGGUGGUGUGAGAUGGAUCCGCGU
rnacentral:rRNA from 1 species